rnacentral:tRNA from 1 species
CGCGGAGUAGAGCAGCUGGUCGCUCGUCGGGCGCAUAACCCGGAGGUCGUUGGUUCAAAUCCUUCCUCCGCAACCA